rnacentral:rRNA from 1 species
CUUGGAAGCAGCCAUUCAUUUAAAGAGUGCGUAACAGCUCACUAGUCGAGCGAUCUGGCGUGGAUAAUAAUCGGGCAUAAACGAUCUGCCGAAGCCGUGGAUGUCGUAAGACAUGGUAGGGGAGCAUUCCAUGCGGCGUCGAAGAUGAGGGAUGACCCUUGUUGGAGCGCAUGGAAAAGCAAAUGUAGGUAUGAGUAACGAUAAGGGGGGCGAGAAACCCCCCCGCCGAAAGACCAAGGUUUCCUGAUCAACGCUAAUCGGAUCAGGGUGAGUCGGGACCUAAGGCAAAGCCGAACGGCGCCGCCGAUGGAAGAAUGGGUUAAUAUUCCCAUACUGCCUCAUGGAGUGACGUGGAGACGGAGAAGUGACAGUCCUGCCGGCUGACGGAAUAGCCGGUUGAAGGGUGUAGAUAUUGAUUCCCGUAGGCAAAUCCGCGGGGAGAGUCGAACCUGACAGUAUACCGAGUACUUGUACGAGGUAAUAUGGACGUAACCAUGCUCCCAAGAAAAUCCGCUAAACUUAUCCAUGCGGCACCCGUACCGUAAACGGACACACGUGGUCGGGUUGAGAAUACUGAGGCGCUCGAGUGAUUCACGGUUAAGGAACUAGGCAAAUUGACCCUGUAACUUCGGGAUAAAGGGUCCCAACGAGAGUUGGGCGCAGAGAAUAGGUCCAGGCAACUGUUUAACAAAAACACAGGGCUGUGCCAAAUUGAAAGAUUACGUAUACAGCCUGACACCUGCCCGGUGCUGGAAGGUUAAGAGGAGAUGUCAUCGCAAGAGAAGCAUUGAAUUGAAGCCCCAGUAAACGGCGGCCGUAACUAUAACGGUCCUAAGGUAGCGAAAUUCCUUGUCGGGUAAGUUCCGACCUGCACGAAUGGUGUAAUGAUCUGGACACUGUCUCAACCGUGAGCUCAGUGAAAUUGUAGUAUCGGUGAAGAUGCCGAUUACCCGCGAUGGGACGAAAAGACCCCGUGAACCUUUACUAUAGCUUAACAUUGAAUUUGGGUAAUUGAUGUGUAGGAUAGGCCGGAGACUUUGAAGCAGGUACGCCAGUAUUUGUGGAGUCGCUGUUGAAAUACGGCCCUUUGAUUAUUUGAGUUCUAACUCGCAGUCGCGAGGACACUGUUUGGUGGGUAGUUUGACUGGGGUGGUCGCCUCCAAAAGUGUAACGGAGGCUUCUAAAGGUGCCCUCAGGACGAUUGGUAACCGUCCGUAGAGUGUAAUGGCAUAAGGGCGCUUGACUGGGAGACUGACAAGUCGAUCAGGUAGGAAACUAGAGCAUAGUGAUCCGGUGUUUCCGUAUGGA